rnacentral:rRNA from 1 species
UACGGGGGGGGCAAGCGUUGUUCGGAAUUACUGGGCGUAAAGGGCUCGUAGGCGGCCAACUAAGUCGGAUGUGAAACCCCCAAGCUUAACUUGGGAACUGCAUCCGAUACUGGAUGGCUCGAGUCCGGAAGAGGAGUGUGGAAUUCCUGGUGUAGCGGUGAAAUGCGCAGAUAUCAGGAGGAACACCAAUGGCGAAGGCAGCACUCUGGGACGUGACUGACGCUGAGACGCGAAAGCGUGGGGAGCAAACAGG